AUGGCGGCUGACAUGGCUUCGGGCUGCGCCAAGAGGAAGCAUGGAGGGGAGGCGAGGUGCCGGUGCAGAUGCCGCCAUGUCCACGUCCACUACCACCUGCCGCCCAGGCGGGUCUCGCUUCUCCGGUGGCUGCCUCGCCCUCGCCUCUCGCUGCUCUUCUCCUACCUGCUGAUUCCUCCCGUGCUCUUCUUCGCCCUGCUUGCCUUUGUGGUGUCGUUUCUCUGCUUCACCUUGCUCUACUUCGUCGCCUCGCUCUUGAGCAAGGAUGACAAUCUCGAUUCCGUCAAGAAUGGCGGCAUCGGCCCUGCCAGCGACGUCGAAGACAGUGGGCAAGAGGGGAAUUCAGAGGCGAAAGGGGAAGCUGCGAGGCAUGUGGCGGAACACCUGACUGGUGAUUCUGCUACGGCUGAAAAUUCUUUCAGGAGACUCGAGAUAAAAGAGGUGCGUGCUGGUGGAUUCUCUCAAGUAUCUUGGAACAUAUCAAAGAUGGCUUCAUCCGAUGGUUGCCUCGAUUACGAGGUGCCGGUGCGUACCAACGACGAUAAACUGGUCCAGGAUGUGAAUAUCUUCGAGACAAGCAGCGCCAUGACUGAUUUAGAGGAAUUUUCCGGAUGGCGUCAGGUACAGGAUGUGCCGGUCGAUUGGUUUGUGGAUGAACACAACAUCAGAGUGGCCAGCAGUAGCACACCAAGUGAUUUAUUUCCAUCUCUGUAUUCCACUGAUUCAGCUGAAAUUCAUGAUUUGCCUGACAUGGACGAACCGAGAGGGAUGUCACCGGACUUUCUUGCUGAAAGCAAGCAAAAUAUGGUUGUGCCAUCAAAUACUUCGUCUCAUCAUCAUAGUAUCAGCGACGAAUAUGGUGAAGACUAUUGUGACGAUAGGAAGGAGUUAUCAGCUUGUGGUACAUAUGAAAUCAUUGAUUUCAUUGACAAACACGAAACAAGAGACCAGGCACCUGACGGUUCUUUUGUUGAAGAUGAGGAAACCGGACAGUUUGAAUCCUCAGGUGAGGGGAGUACCCAAGAAAAGGAUGCAAAUAGUGUACUUGAAUCGGUUGUUGAUAGCAUAGCGACUCUGGAAGAUUUUCGUGGAAAGCAAGAAGUACAAAAGGUGCCCGAAGUUCUGAUCACGGAGGCAAAUGCAGAGCAGAGUGUUGGCGCUUCAAACGAAGUUCAGGAUUCCAGCAGCGAGAAGGAAGCAUCAAUGGUGUCACUCCAUUCUGUUUGUGAAGAUACAGCCUUCUCUGAUGUUCCAUCCAACCAUUAUUUUUGUUAUGAAGAUGACAAACAGGAAGAGGUUACCAAACACAGCACAGCAGAGGCACCCGAUCCUGCAUCUGCUGUAGUUUGCAACAUCUUUGAGAACCGUCAGACACCAAAAAGAGAGGCAUUUGAUGGUUUCCAGAAUGACGACGAAGCCAGAGAGGUGGCCUCACAGGAGAGUCUGGGAGAUGAAGCUGAUCAAAUUAACGAUGACUCUGCCUCGGAGUUGGAUUUGAAGGGAGCGCAUUGUGGAGCGCCACUUCUGAGGAGGUCCCCAUCACAAUGGUGGAAUUUAUGUGGAGUCGUUGAUGUGUUUGCUGGCUCCGGGGAUUAA
rnacentral:rRNA from 1 species